rnacentral:rRNA from 1 species
AGUGAACGCUGGCGGCGUGCCUAAUACAUGCAAGUCGAACGGAGUGGCGCACGGGUGAGUAAUGUAUAGCUAAUCUGCCCUACACUAGAGGACAACAGUUGGAAACGGCUGGUAAUACUCUAUAGUGUAGGUUGAGGCCAUAUUGUAUCCGCUAGUUGGUGAGGUAAUGUCUCACCAAGGCUAUGACGCAUAACUGGUCUGAGAGGAUGAUCAGUGACCCUGGAACUGAGACACGGUCCAAACUCCUACGGGAUGCAGCAGUAUGGAAGAAUGCUCAAUGGGGGAAACCCUGAAGCAGCAACGCAGCCUGGAGUAUGACACUUAUCUGAACGUAAACUCGUUCUGUUCGGUAAGCUGUACCUAACGAAUAAGCACCGGCUAACUCCGUGCCAGCAGCCGCGGUAAUAC